AUUGAACGCUGGCGGCAGGCCUAACACAUGCAAGUCGAGCGGAGCGGCGGACGGGUGAGUCAUGCCUAGGAAUCUUCCUGGUAGUGGGGGAUAAAGUCCGGAAACGGGCGCUAAUACCGCAUACUAUCAGAUGAGCCUAGGGCGGAUUAGCUAGUUGGUGGGGUAAAGGCCUACCAAGGCGACGAUCCGUAACUGGUCUGAGAGGAUGAUCAGUCACACUGGAACGGAGACACGGUCCAGACUCCUACGGGAGGCAGCAGUGGGGAAUAUUGGACAAUGGGCGAAAGCCUGAUCCAGCCAUGCCGCGUGUGUGAAGAAGGUCUUCGGAUUGUAAAGCACUUUCAGCGGGGAGGCGUUACCCGCAGAAGAAGCACCGGCUAACUCCAUGCCAGCAGCCGCGGUAAUUC
rnacentral:rRNA from 1 species